rnacentral:pre_miRNA from 1 species
UUAACUGAAAUUUGUAUGGAGUUGGAGCGUUUGCCUGCGUUUGCCGCUAGGUGCGCUAUUCCAACUGCAUUUUAAUUUAACUUU